AGUUGGAAGCCAAAAGGGAAGCGGCAGCCUUGUUCUUUCCCCGCUCUGAAGGUGGGAGGAGGAUCACCAGGGCAUCUGAGUUAUGCCGCUGGUCUGCUGGCUCAUGUUGUGGGCCUGCAGAAGCAGCCAGAUGAUCCACUCCUUCAGCUCUCAGACCCAGGCAGGACAUGUUUAGGUCCUUGAGCCAAAGGGGCCAGACUUGGAGACAGCACAAGGCAGAAGACAGCUCCAGUCUGUCCUCACUUCCCUGCUCUGCAUCUGACCUGCUGCCACCCUGACCUGCUGCCCUGCAGAAUUCAGACUCCAACACGAGAUAAAUCAGCUCAGCACAGAAGAGAUGAGCAUGUGUACUACUUUCCAAAAGAGGAAGUGGAUUCCGAAAACUACUUAUUUUGAUGGACCCUGUACUCCAUGGAUCAGCUGGCACCACCCAGAUCGAUAAACCGGCUCAUCUGGUCUUGUGGCCCCCAACCAGGAAGUGCUCAGUGCAAGAGGACAGCUUCAACUCCCUUUGAUUUCCUCUCCAACCCAAACAAUCAGCACUCCCAACUCACUGGCCCCUACCCACCAAAUUAUACUUAAAAAUUCCAAUUCCCAAAUUCUCAGGAAGACCGAUUUGAGUAAUAAUAAAAUUUCAUACAGCCAGCUCUGCAUGAAUUGAAAUCUUUCUCUAAUGCAAUUCUCCUGUCUUAAUAAAUCAGCUCUGUCUAGGCAGAGGGUAAGGAGAACCCAUGGGGCAGUUACAUUAUUACAUUGGAUUCUCAUAGCAAUCAAUGCUAUGCAGAUCUCUCAGAUGAGUUAGGUGAGUUAUAGGUUGGUUCAAGUCACUACUUGAUAUGGUUUGGCUGUGUCCCCACCCAAAUCUCAUCUUUUUUUUUUUUUCUUUUU